AUUUGGACAACUCAAUUCUGCAUUUUUCUUGAAGAAUACAUAUUAUGUACAAAUGACAAACAUUCACUACAUUUUCUGUAGGCCUACUGAUUUGCCCUGGGUUACCCACAAACAACAAUCAAGAGAGAAACAAAUAGAAUCUAAAUAGGACUUGACUGCUUUUUGUGAUCUAAAACAAACGUGUACUGGUAAAAUAACACAUUUUCUCUUUGCCAGCACAAAACAACUGUAUUCUGACAGCCAGAAACACCCCCAAUUUAAAGGAUAUCAUUUCAGAAAACAUGGUCAUUAUUUACUAUGAUAAUAAGAAAAGGAGCUGUGAUCCAUGUGAGCUCCAAUGUUUGCUAAACCUACAGUAUAUUCUGCUCCAGAGUUGUCACCGGCACGUUUGGGCCAGAUCACGUGACGGGAGAGGAUAGUGUGUGUUUGUUGUUUGUUGUUUGUGUCCAUGUCAGUGUGUGUGUGAGAAAGAGGGUGGGAGUGAACAAAGGGGGGGGUAUAGACAUCCACUUCUCCGGGCAAACACUAAUUACUUUAACAUUUCCUAUAGUCCAUAAGAAUAAGAUUUAUAAGAAUGUUAAACAUUUGCAUGUAUUUUAAAAAUAUCUGUGAGACAAAAAUUACAAUUAGUGCUUAAUUUGAUCAAAUUUGUCACAGGUAUGCAUCGGUGAUCUAACUCCAGCGAAGGCAAAGCAAAACAGGGCAUUGUUAAGGAUCACCAUAUAGUCAGGUGGUCCAGUCGGCCCAAGGAGAGCAUCCUCCGAGUUCUGAAUCUUGUGAAAUGUUUAGUUAUUUCUCCCCAUGGAGAUGAAGACUGUGUCCCAUUAGUGGUUUGGCAUGGACAUGCAUGAAAAAGGCUAAAUGUGUUGUUGAAGUUCAGGGAAAGUGGACAUUUUGGUUAUUCCAUGAUGUUCUUGUUGACAUACGAUAAACGUCUCUUCCCACAGGCCUGUGCAUGCUGACUGGACGAGGGGAGGCCAAGAGAGGGACUGUAGUUGGCUGCUCGGUGCCCAGUCAUAUUUUCCUGCAGAGAGCUUUCAUGAUCCAAGACGCCUCUGAGGAGCUGGCUGAGUGUGGGAACAGCAUCACGAUCAUACAGGGGAGUAGACAGAGACGGGAAGGCCUCCACAAACACUUUGUUCUGAAAGAUGGAAAUAAUGAAAAAUGAAGAACAAAUGUGUAUGUAUCAUUUCCAGUCAGUCCCAUGGACCAUGUACUCCUGGAGAUUACAGGAAUAUGCAAUAAAUUGACUCCUUGUCUUUUGUAGUCACUUCGGAGGAAAGAUGGAGAGAUUUAAAGGCCUACCACAUUUUGCGUGGCAGAGAAUCUGCCCCUUGUCUCCUCUACAGCAUUUGUGGGCCACCACUGUUCUCUUGUGUCUUGCCUUUCUCCCGCUAUAUCCUUUGGAAAGGCUGUCCAGGCAUCCUCUGAUUGUUGGAAUGAGCUGUCUGUCCAACCUGAGGUCCAAUGGGUAGACUCGUUGGUGAUGGAAUGGUUUUCAAGUGCAGCAUGGAAGGCAUCAGACAUGAAUCAUUACGACACUAGCUAGAUUCUAUUGAUUCUAUAUGAUCUGUAUGCCUUGCACUGAGUCGACCUCAAAGUGCAGGGACCUGGUGUAUGCUCCAAAUAGGCGGCUAUUUUGCAUGCUGUCCUCAUUCAAAUGGCCUGAAUGGGCAACAAAUAAAAGUUUUUUUUUUUUACCUUCUAUAAUCUGACAACUAUUUUUGUAACUUUGAUUUAUACACUUGGUUAAAUGUCACUGCCAUUGCAAGUGCCAUUGCUUUAACUGACAUAUGACAUAAUCGUGACAACAACAAUGAUUAGACCUGUGUUAUUACCAUUAGACACUAAUGAUGGGGAGUUUUGUCUUUGCAUGAUGUUUGAGGUUACAUGGGGAUGGAACGUUGGGAUGGAUGUCACCCUGCAUGGUCUCUCCCAAUCACGGCAGAGCUGCCUGCCUGGGUCUCUGUCUCUUUAAACAUGGAACCCCAUGUCCUGAGGCUCACACGCCUUACAUCCCAAAGCAGAGAGCACUAGCACUACCUUCACAUGAGUUUGGGAGAGGAGAGGGCCCUCAAGAAUCCAGGUCAGACCAGAAUGAAUAACUGUUUAUUUUAUUUCAACUUUAUUUAACUAGGCAAGUUAGUUAAGAACAAAUUCUUAUUUACAAUGGCGGCCUACCCCAGCCAAACCCGGACGACGCUGGGCCAAUUAUGCGCCGCCCUAUGUGACUCUCAAUCACGGCCGGUUGUGACACAGCCUGGAAUCAAACCAGGGUCUGUAGUGAUGCCUCUGGCACUGAGACGCAGUGCCUUAGACCGCUGUGCCACUCGGGCAUUGGGAGCAACGUGUCUACAUGCCCUGGCUGCUGCAUGGUGCAAACCACAACAAAGAGAGUUACCGAUACUGUUCACAUCAGAGCACUUGUCUUUGUGGUUUUCAAAAGCCUUUUCAUGUUCUGCUGUUUACUGCUGCCUCUGUCACAUUUGCAUAAUCUAACUGGAGGAUGUGAUAGUCAUAAGAAGUUUCUGUUAUGUGUGUGUCGUGUCUGGAUGUCUUUAAAAAGAGCCCCUGUCACAUUUCUGAGGUGCCGUAGGCUGGGGACUUACCAACACUCUCACUUUUCCCAGAAGACACUAGGGGUGAUGCAGUGAAGCUGUCGUACCAGGGCAGCUGCUCCUCUGCCUGCAUGAAAAGCCCAAAGUCAUCCUCCCCCUCUGGCCCCCCAUCCAGGAACCCCCUGUUGGAGGCCACCUUGCUCUCGUCCGGGCCCCUCUUCCACUCCUGCUCCCCUGGGCUCCGUAGCAGAGGCACCAGAAACCCACCUCCAGCGUCUGUCUGCCCCCCAUUCGGAGCAGGGAGGCCUGUUGCCAUGGCUCUUGAGGAGGCCAGAUUAGGUGGCGAGUGUGUGACAGAGGUAGCAGGGCCAGCAACAGCAGAGCCUUGUAAACGGGAAUUAAACUGCCUAGUCCCUGCCUUCCUCCACCUUACUACGGCCUCUUCAGUUAGGUUAGCUGGUAAAUCUGAAAAACACCUCGCUUCCAUAUUACAUGUCUCCUCGCACUCAUGUUCCUCCGUUGCCCAGUGAGGCCCUCGCUCAGUUCUCUGGGAUAUGAUGUCUCCCUUUACCAGCCUGGCCUCAUCAUCUGUGCUCCUGACCUCAGGCAGUAUCUCUCCAUGCUCCCCACAGAGCUCCCUAAUUUCUGGUGCUGUUGACUGGAUCCCCUCCUCCCCCUCUAUCUCCUCUUCCUCACAGAGGCCAUGUACAGAUUCUUGUAAACCUUCUUUAUCCACUGCCACAGGAUCUUUUUCUUCUGGCUGACAUUUCUCACAAAGCUUAUUGUAUUGACUAUCUGAUUUAGUUUCCUGAUUUAUCUGACCAUAGCCAGUCUCAUCAGGAGCAGUAGAAAUGCUGCCCUCAACUGGUCUGGGUGGUUGAGUGGAGCAGUCUUUGAGGCAGCUUCUCUCAGAGCAGCAGUGGCUCUCUGAAGUUUGACUAUCGAUCCACCUGUUGGGCAGCUUCCCCUCAGCUAUCUCCCCGGUUCCCCUUAGCCUCUCUGAAUCACACUCUGCAGACUUGAUAUGAUCCACAAACCCAAUCACAGCACCCACCAUGCCAUCAAAGUCUUCCACAUGACUCAUGAUACCACUGGCCACAUCGUUGCCUCCAGUAUGUAUGUCUUUGUCCCAUAGUUUGUCCUGGAAGUGCUCCUUGUUGAAAGAAGUUUCAGGAUGCAGCCCCUCCUGUGCGCGUGGGCUGUCUGGCUUUCCCCGGUCCCUGACGUCACUGCUGCAGUUUUCUGGGUCAGCAUUGUCUGGAGGCAGGGAGGAGUCACAGGGCUUUGACCGGGUGAGACCAGUGCCAUCCUGCACUUUCCCCUCCUCCUUCUCCUUAAUCCCCUCCACACCGCAGCUCGACUGAUCCUGCUCACAUACAGAGGCAGCUCCCCUCUGACCCCCGCUGCUCCCCUGCCCUCCUCUCCGCCCGUGACACUGGGUGCAGGUCAGGGUCUGAGCGUGACUGCAUUUGGGGCUUCUAGUACUCCCUCGGUCUUGUUUUCCACUCAGAGUGUCCUGACCAGCUUUGGGAAACUCUCCUUUGUCCCUGCUUUCCUGGCUCCCUUCCAGGGUAUGCUCGCCAGCAUUCUCCCUGUUCCGGAGUGUUCUCCCCUGGAUGGAAACCACAGGCUUGCAGGAUGUUCUCCACCUCUGGGCUGACCUCGAUUUGACCUGGUAUGACCCCAAGGCCCCUCCCAUAUCCUGCACCCCCAUUUUCCCCACCAUGGAGGAGUCCCUGACCCCUCCCACUUUAUCCCUCAGCCAGCUGCCCACCAGCGUGGAGGGGGACUGAGGGACCAGACUUUGAGUGCAGGGCCUUGGACUGCCUGUAGAGUAGAGGCACCUUCCACCCUCCGUCUUGAGGAACAGACAGCUUGUCUGAGUCUGACCACCUCCCUCAGAGGCCUUCAACGUGGCCACAGUCACCAGUGCCCCCAGGCCUGUCUGUCUGGGGUUGGAGGCAUAGUUGGAGUCCAGCGGUAGCCCCAGACCAUAACCCAGCCUGCCCCACUGUCCCACUGGGUAGACAUCUGCAGGCCUGGGGCACGUUCCCUGGGACCUGGGGGGAGGUGCUGCCCUCCUGCGGUUCUUGGAGCACGCAGCCCAGGCCCGAAGGCCCUUGACUAAGGGCAUGUCCCCAAGCUCCAAGCGUCUGGUGAAGGAAAGAUUGCUUUUUUGGCACUUCUGCAGCACCUCCCUGGGGGAGCCAGACAUCUCCAGGCAUGGGUAGUUGUUGUUAUUGUUCUGCUGGAUCAUUGUUGCAGCCUUCAGAUUAUUUAAGAUAGUAUCAAAAAAAUACUAGCCAAUGUGCAAUCUUCAAACGUCUAUGUACCUUAACAAGGAGGCUUCAACGCAUGAAGAAUAGACACUCAAAGUAAUGACGCGCUGUGUAUUUCUGAGUAAUAUUCAGUGACAGUGCUGUCAACAGUGUUCUCCAUCCAGAUACGUAGCUUUUAUCAAUGGGUGUCAGGCAUGUAAACCAAUUCAGUCUACCUAAACAACCUAGAGGAGAAACAAACAUUGAUCAGAUAUAUCAUUGAAAACAUGAUACAACACCUCAUUUCAUUUUGGAAAGGAUGUCACUGUACAAAGACUCUCAUAAUCAAAUAAAGCUACGAAUCAAUAUCUGCUAGAGCCCACGAGAGAGAUUGAAUGGCUGGCAUUGUGUGAGAACCAUGUAUCGAUCCUCUCACACAAUCUUAACUACCCACUUUGAUUGGUGUUUUGGGGCUCAAUCAAAUGUUAAUUUGUUCGUAUUUUAUGUGCUCAU
ensembl:lncRNA